rnacentral:rRNA from 1 species
AUGGCCGCACUAACAAACCUCGUGAUCUGCUUUUGCGCGGGUGAGGACAGCUGGCUCGCCAGAUGCAGCACCAGCGACCCCAGUACAUCUGAAGUUAGAGAUGGAAACGGGAAAUCACGGCGCAACAGCAAUAACAAACGCCGAAAUAAAGAAGAUAGCACGAAGGGCACGACAGUAAAUGCCGGAUUCAAAAGCUCUCGGCCAGGUCAUAAGCCGCCCCCUAAAGGCACCAGGGAUGAACUGUCCAGCCUCAACAAAAUUCUGGACCAAGUAUGUCAGAUCCAUAGUACCCUUGGUAAACCUGCUAAUCAUACCCACAGAGAAUGUUGGGUCUUCAAGCAGUCCGGCAAGCUCAACACCGUACACAAGGGGGAGGAUACGCCAAGUGAAGACGAGGACGAGCCUCCCAAGCAAGACACGGCGGAACAAAAAAAAAUUUCCACCAGAAGUCAAAAGAGUAAACGUGCUACACGUAAUCAAGGAAAAAAACAACGCGGCACUCCCAGGGAAAUAUACCCAAGUGCCUAUCACCGCGAAGUCCUGCCACUGGUCGUCUCAACCGAUCACUUUUGA